rnacentral:rRNA from 1 species
GACGAACGCUGGCGGCGUGCUUAACACAUGCAAGUCGAACGGAAAGGCCCUGCUUUUGUGGGGUGCUCGAGUGGCGAACGGGUGAGUAACACGUGAGUAACCUGCCCUUGACUUUGGGAUAACUUCAGGAAACUGGGGCUAAUACCGGAUAGGAGCUCCUGCUGCAUGGUGGGGGUUGGAAAGUUUCGGCGGUUGGGGAUGGACUCGCGGCUUAUCAGCUUGUUGGUGGGGUAGUGGCUUACCAAGGCUUUGACGGGUAGCCGGCCUGAGAGGGUGACCGGCCACAUUGGGACUGAGAUACGGCCCAGACUCCUACGGGAGGCAGCAGUGGGGAAUAUUGCACAAUGGGCGGAAGCCUGAUGCAGCAACGCCGGGUGCGGGAGGACGGCCUUCGGGUGGUAAACAGCUUUCGCCUGUGACGAAGCGUGAGUGACGGUAAUGGGGAAAGAAGCACCGGCUAACUACGG